CAGCUGCCUCUGAUAGGGAUCUACAGGAUGAGGAAGGAACACACACAAACACACACACUCGCAUGCACGCACGCUUACACACACAUACACGUGCACGCACGUCUAUUCACAUCUGCGGCUUUUGAAGAAGGUGAAAAGGAUGACAUCGAGGGAUUGUUGGACAAACAGGGCAGCCAGUUUUGUUACAUUUUAGCGGAAGAGAGUUGAAUAGGGGCGGUUUAUGAGUCAAAGAGGAACAGGUUUAAUGGCGGCUUUGUGGCUGUGUGGAGGAUGAGUGCAGAGAGGGAGAGGUAUGCAAACAGAACGCCGCUUCAGUGCCAGCCAGGUGUCUGCGUUGUUCCCGUCUGCGUGCAAGUGUGAUGCAUGCAUCUGCGCUUUUGUGUGCAACUUCCAUGUGUAGCUGUGUGCACACGCUGCAUGCACUGUCAGUCUUUUUCCAGUGAAAAGGCAGUUGCGGGUGAAAAAGCUCUUUGGACAGCUUCUCUUCAUCACCAACCACAGCUGCUGUUGACUCAUGCGCCCAGGAAUCUCCUCCAUGGGUUCACACCCUUUUAACCAGCCAACCGCACACCAGGACCCUCCGAGCACGAGCAAAAGCUCCCACAAGACCUCAAGGACGAAACAUUUGCUCUGGCAGUGGAUGAGAUUUAAUAAAAAAGCAGCUAUCUUAUUGGUCAAAAGAAACAGGGCUGUAAAAGAGAAGA